CGGAAGUAAAGUCGUAACAAGGUCUCCGUAGGUGAACCUGCGGAAGGAUCGUUAAUAAAUGGUCUACGUUUUUUAAGUAGACGCUUAAUAAUCCUACCUUUGUGAAUUUGUUGUUUGAAAUAAUUUUUUUUAAAUUAUUGAUUGUCUUUCCUGUUGAAUUGGUUGUCUUAAUGGCAAAUGAUUCGCAGGGAGUGUCAGUAAUUUUUAAAAAGACCUUUUUAAAAUUAACUUUUGUAUUCAUUUGUCUAAAAUUAUUUUAUAAUAUAAAACAACUCUUGACAAUGGAUCUCUUGGUUCUCGCAACGAUGAAGAACGCAGCAAAAUGCGAUAAGUAGUGUGAAUUGCAGAAUACGUGAAUCAUCGAAUCUUCGAACGCAUAUUGCACUUUUUAGUUUACUAAAAAGUAUGUCUGUUUGAGUAUCAGUAAAUAUUCUCAUAAAACUUUUGUUUUUAUGGUUAUGAGUGUUUACAACGAUACAAGUUGUUUCACUUUAAUUUUUUUAAAAUUUGAAUUUUCUAAUUUAAAUAAAAUUGGAUAAAUUUCCCGUAAAAAGGAAUAACCUAAACAAUUUUAAUUUUGAUUAGAAUUCUUCAAUUAUAAGGAAAUUUAACUAAUAACUUGAUCUCAAUCAGAUAAGAGUACCCGCUGAACUUAAGCAUAUCAAUAAGCGGAGGAAAGAAACUAACAAGGAUUCCUUAGUAACGGCGAGUGAAGCGGGAAGAGCUCAAAUUGAAUCUUCAAGUUUUACCUUGACGAAUUGUAGUUUAAGAAGUGUUUUCUGUUGAAGUUUUGGUAAAAGUUCUAUGGAAUAGGACAUCAUAGAGGUGAGAAUCCGUAUUUGACCAUUAUUUCAGCUGUGUGAUACACUUUCAAAGAGUCGGAUUGUUUGGGAAUGCAGUCCAAAUGGGUGGUAAAUUUCAUCUAAGCUAAAUAUUGGCGAGAGACCGAUAGCGAACAAGUACCGUGAGGAAGAUGAAAGAACUUUGAAAGAGAGUUAAACAGUACGUGAAUUGUCAAAAGGGAAGCGUUUGACACCAGUGUUGUUUUCUCGAAAUCAAUUAAAAAAGUUGGAUUUGUGUUGUAUUGACCUUAACAGCUUGCUUCACUCUUUCUUGCUUUUUUUAAUGCACUUUUCGUUUAACAAGUCAACAUCAGUUUCUUUGUUGUAAAAGGUCAUUGGAAGGUGGCUUUCUCUUCGGAGAAAGUGUUAUAGCCUUUGAUCUCUGCAAUCGGAGAGACUGAGGUCUGCAGCGUAGAUCCUUCGGGUUAGAUACAUUUGUGCUAAGCUACAGCUUUUCAUAGACAACUUGUUGACUAUGUUUAGUCUUGUAACUUACCCGCUUAUGCUAUUUACCUACGCUUAGGAUGUUGAG
rnacentral:misc_RNA from 1 species